CUAGCCGUAAACGAUGGAUACUAGGUGUGGGAGGUAUCGACCCCUUCCGUGCCGGAGUUAACGCAAUAAGUAUCCCGCCUGGGGAGUACGGCCGCAAGGUUGAAACUCAAAGGAAUUGACGGGGGCCCGCACAAGCGGUGGAGUAUGUGGUUUAAUUCGACGCAACGCGAAGAACCUUACCAAGACUUGACAUUGAUUGAAAGACUUAGAGAUAAGUCCCUUCUCUUCGGAGAACAAGAAAACAGGUGG
rnacentral:rRNA from 1 species